rnacentral:lncRNA from 1 species
CAAAUGUCCUAGGUGAGCAACAUUGGAUCAGCCACAGUGGACUGGGAAGGUUCUUUCCCCUGUCCUGGAUGUUGUCUCACAAAUAAUUCAUCUUCAGGUCAACCAGAGCAUUCAUAGGAUUUUUAUUUUUUUUAAUUUUUCUGAGUCUCUUAUCAGUUCCCCAAUCAUUAGGAAUCUAGCAGCCAAUCAAGUAUCAGAAAACUAAAAAUACCAUUAAAGCUGAUGUUUUCCUUGUUCUCACCAAUGUUCCUAAAAUUUCUAAGACUUGGACUGCUGCUUCCUUUUUGAGACCUAAAUAUGUUACUGACAUGGGUUCCAGUUUUGCGAACUGGUUAAGAGGAGGGAUUCUAGAACCAGAUUUGCCUAGCCCAUCCAUUUGCUUGUUAUGUAAACAAGCAAGUACUUUAAGUUUUUUUUUUUUUAUCUACAAAGUACAAUAAUAAUAACACUUACUUUAUAAUGUUACAGUCAAAUGAAAUAGUCUAUAAUGUACCUAGUGUAGUGGUAAGACUUUAGUGAAUGCUCAAAAAAUAUGAGCAAUUAGUAUUAAAGUGUGAACUCAUUUGUUGUCCUCAUAAAAGAAGCACAGUUAGAUUGAGUUAGAUUUCUUAUCAUUGGAGCCUGAAUUGUGGUCUCACUUUUCGCACCAAAGGAGGCACAAAAAAUUAACAACAACAACAAAAAAAAAAGACAGCAAAAGUUGAAGAGUUUUCUGAGGCUCAUGUUGUAACUCAUCAUGGUGUAUUGAAGCCAAGAAGUCUUCCCCUAGACCAGUUUAUGAGCUCUCUGACCACAGUAUCCUUUUCCUUGAGUUGACCUCGUGGUCAUGGCCUCAUACAUUAGUCACUUUACUAGUUCCAGUUUUCCAAGGAAGGAAAUUGGCCAUAUAAGUGAAAUUCCAGCUGCAAUAAUUGGGGCCCAUUCUUGAUACAUUCAUCUGGGAUUAGGAAUGCACCUAGGCAGGUCACUCAGCAUAAAAGAUGGCUACAACAAACAAGAGCUGUGCAUGGAACAGCUGUCCUCAGAAUGAUGGGGGAAGAGAGAAUUAGUGAGGCAAUGAUUGAUUGUCUAGGAUUGCAGUUUACAUUUCCACUUUCUGGAAGAUGAUUCUGAGCCUUAAAUUGCUCAGAUGAUUUUAGCAAUAAUCAGUGGUGUGCUGGUUAAUGUUUAACAACCAGUUUUUAGGGGAGAGAGUAGAACACUAAUUUCUAGUAUUUGCUGAUUUCUGUGGUAUAAAUAUUUCCACUGUGGCCAGUUUCAGGUUACCAAGGUGAAGCCACUGCGUGUGAAGUUAGUGAACAUGAGUUUAUGAAAAGAUGUAUAGUGGCACUCCAUUAUAAUGUAUUUUCAACGUAAAACUACACUAGAUUUUAAUAACCUCAAGACUACAGAUAAUAGUAAAAUAUAGUGAAAUAAUUAAGGGGUGAUACAUUUUGAGUAUUUAUUACCUUUGCUUUUAAUGUAAUUAGCUGUACAUCUAUAUAUUUUAAUUUGUGAAAAUGGCUUGCAGAAUUUUUUGAAGAUUUAAAAAUUGGCUCUUACCAGCUUGUACAAGCCUGCUCCAACACAUCACUGCUGGCAAAAUAAGACCAUUCAAGACUUGGCUUCUUCCCUUACAGACUAAUUGGGAAAAUGCUUUUACAUGUGAAUCAAUUAGAGGCUAACUCAAGGUAUUACAUACUUAACUAUAAAAAAGGUACAGAUAAAGGAGACAUCUUUUAGGUAUUUCCUUCUAAGGAAGGUCUCAGGACCUUCGAAAAGCAAGCAUGUUUUCUAUACUUUAGUAUCACUGUUCUGUCUAACUGAACUUCCCAAGCUAUACUCUACAGUGCACAUAUGUAAAUCUAGAUCAAUCAGAUUCUUCCAGGGCAAAGUGUAAUCAAGUUCUUCAUUGUGGUGUCUUCCGAGGAAUUCCAAUUGUGAGCUAUAGCAAAGAAUUAGAAGAUUGGGGAAAACCAAAUGGAAAUUAUCAGAUCCCACAGAUCAGAUCAAUAAUUCAUAAAGUCUGGACUUGAAGAGAAUUAUUUGCAGACUGGAUUGAUAGACAAUUAGAAAUAGUCAAUGACUGCCCUUGGGAGACCUUGAGAAAAGUGAUCAGGAAGAGUGGCACUUGGGUUUAAUAAACUUCAGGCUGCUCAGAUAUAUCUCCUAACUAAUGGAUUGUGACAUAUGUAGUCUGGGCCUUGACCAGCAGUGAUGCCUAGUGCUGUAAUUGUCUUGCAUAUAGAGUGUCUUUUUCCAAAGAAAGUUGUUGCUGUGUUGAGAGAGUAAUUACAGAGCUGCCAGAAGGGAGAGCAGUCACCCUACCAAGCUCACCAUGAUUUAUUGGGCGUAUUUGUGCUCUUAAACGGAUCUGUCUUUUUCUUCCUGGAAUGUUUUCACACUUCAAUAUGAAUCUUUCUUUCCCUGAGCUCACCUCAUUUGGGUCUAAAAUAUUGAUCUGGUUGACAAAGGACAGGGCAGUGUAAGUGUGUGUGUGUGUGUGUGUGCACGCAGAUUAGAAAGAGCAAGAGGGGGAACUUUGUACAUGUUCAUAGUAUUCAAAGACAUGAUUCUGUCUUUCAUAUUAUUCUGAUGAUCUAGGGAGAUUUGGGACAGAGGCUCUCCUUUCUCCUUGAAAAUUCUGCUGAUAGUGUCUGCCUUUGAGAAACAAACCCCAUUGUGAGACUGAAAAAGACCUUUAGUCUUUUUGAUGACAUUUGUCCAUGGAGUCUGCAAUGAGAGAUGAUGUAUGAAAACCCGCCAAUGUGAAAAAAUCAUAAUGUUUGUGACAAAUUCCUUUACCUCCAUUGCGAAUCAGCAGUUUUAGGAAUGUAGUCUCCGUGGUAUCCUAAAUACCAAAUACUUUCUGUCACACCAAUGCAUCUUGCUAAAGUUAAGGAGAACCUUGGAAGAAUUUUAGUAUUCUAUUUCCCCUUUGGAGAAACAAUCAAAAGUUGCUUUGAGUUAAGCAUUUUAUCUUCUGGGAAAAAUACCUUCACUUUUCCAAAUGUAUAGUCCUUGAGGAGCAGUAGAAGGCAUUGGCACACACCAGACCUUUGCUAGAAACUUCCACUUUGCAUCUGUUUCUUACAUUUUCUCUUUUCACAUAGGGAAACUGUUAUAUGUCUCUCACUUUUCAUCAAAAUUUUCAAUAUCUUAGAAAAUUAAGUUCCUCUUGGUAGAAAAAAAAUGCUUACCCUUCAAUCACUAAAAGGCCAAGUAGAUCAAAUUAUCAAAAAUUUUAUGGCAAACUUAAGGUUAUAACUCAGGAAAUUGGGUUCAGCAUACCUCUUCCAUCAGAAGGAGCUUGUUGACAAUUUUUUUUUCUUGUUGCUAAUCAGCACAGGGACGUAAAAAUCUGUGG